rnacentral:lncRNA from 1 species
GGUGUUACUCGGGGUGCGCCAGUGGAAGCGGGAGGCAGUUGCAGCUUUCAGUUAGAACAACACUGGAUUGGCAAGAGGGAGACUGAGGCGGGAACCCAGGCAGAGGCUGCUGUGAGUCCAGCUAGGAUGAGACGUGGGUGCCAGACAGUGGGCCUGGGGCAGACCCCAGGGACUCCGCAGUGAAGACCCCACCUCAGUGGUCCUGGGCCCCAGGCCUCAAGAGACUUGGGGCAGCUCCCUAAGCAGCAAGAGGGGUCCUGUCAUCGUGAGGCGUGUUGAGGAUCCAGAAGCUGUGGUUUCAUAACUCCGUCACUGUGUGGUGUCUGAAAGCCAUUUCAUUAAAUGUCACAUGGAAUCAAAAUAGAAAUUACAUCUCUGGGACAAAGCCCAUUGAGCCAGGAGCCAGGGAUUCUGAAUUGGAACCAGAAUAGCCUCCGAAGCUGGGACUGUGGAUCCAAGGCUGCCCCCACCCCCUGGGUCUCGCUCACAUCUGCACUCCCCAGAGGGGGCAGGUGGUCCUGGAGCCUAGCCUACCUGCCGAGAGUCAGAGGUGGCUGCAGGGGAACCAUGGCAGCCCUCCUUCUCACACUCAUCCUGGGCACCCUGCACCAGCAGAAGGGUUUACAUGUACAAUCACCCAUCCCUAGCCCCUUCUG